GUCAGGAUGGACAAGCGGUCUAAGGCGCUGCGUUAAGAUUGCAAUUUCCCCUGGAGGCGUGGGUUCAAAUGCCACUUCCGACA
rfam:Danio rerio chromosome 4, GRCz11 reference primary assembly.